UACGUAGGGUGCGAGCGUUAAUCGGAAUUACUGGGCGUAAAGCGUGCGCAGGCGGUUCGUUGUGUCGGUGGUGAAAUCCCCGGGCUUAACCUGGGAAUGGCAUGGGAAACUGGCGGGCUGGAGUGUGGCAGAGGGGGGUGGAAUUCCGCGUGUAGCAGUGAAAUGCGUAGAGAUGCGGAGGAACACCGAUGGCGAAGGCAGCCCCCUGGGCUAACACUGACGCUCAGGCACGAAAGCGUGGGGAGCAAACAGG
rnacentral:rRNA from 1 species